rnacentral:rRNA from 1 species
GACGAACGCUGGCGGCGUGCUUAACACAUGCAAGUCGAACGGAAAGGCCUGCUUUCCCUUGUGGAUUGCGGGUACUCGAGUGGCGAACGGGUGAGUAACACGUGAGUGAUCUGCCCCCAACUUGGGUAUAAGCCUGGGAAACUGGGUCUAAUUCUCGAUAGGACUGCAGGGUGGUGCCUGUGGUGGAAAACGAUUUCUAGUGGUUGGGGAUGAGCUCGCGGCCUAUCAGCUUGUUGGUGGGGUAAUGGCCUACCAAGGCGGCGACGGGUAGCCGGCCUGAGAGGAUGGACGGCGAGAUUGGGACUGUGAUACGGCCCAGACUCCUACGGGAAGCAGCAGUGGGGAAUAUUGCACAAUGGGCGGAAGCCUGAUGCAGCGGCGCAGCGUGGGGGAUGACGGCCUUCGGGUUGUAAACUCCUUUCGACCGCGAGGGAGCCACCUGGUUGGAAGGGUGGUGACGGUAGUGGUAGAAGAAGCACCGGCUAACUACGUG